rnacentral:misc_RNA from 1 species
CCCAACACACAGUCAGAGCAGCACAGGCACACCUACACACACCCGGCUCCGACGUCCGACGGAAGGCUUGACGCUCUCUUUGUGUUGUAGGGCGCGCCACACUCAGUCGUCUCCUGCACCCUAUUCACGUCAGCGCCCUUCAAUCGCUUCGGCAGUCGGCGCCCCCCUCUGCUUCCUCUGCGCUUUCUUGUUGCGCGUGUGCCGUGCGUCCGCUCUAGCUGCACCACGCGCGCACACGCAGGCAGAUCCACCCGCACACGCGCACAAAGCGAGGUCAGUGCCAGUGCUCUGUGGGCUCGCACACAACACUGCACGGGCUCAUACGGACAUUACUCGUUCCAAACCACUGCCGGUGUUACGGAGAGCCCCCAACCGUGACGGCGGCCAGCUUCGUAGGGCGAUGACGGAGGAGACCUGUACAACAGACUCGGAGGCGAAGACGCUUCAGCGGCUUGCGGAGCGGUACUACGAAGCGUAUAGGCGAGACCGCGGCAAUGAUAGCACACCAACCGUGGCGUCGUCAUUGAUGCGCAUGAUGGCUGUCAUGGGAGAGCUGUCUACAAUGGCGUUCACGUCCUCGUCAAGCAUGUCGCCUUUUGAAAAAGACGAGGUAUCCCUGCUGAUCGGAAAGCUCAGCAUCUCUGUGGCGAUGAUUGCCGAGGCUUUCCACCUGAACGUGGGGCGGUCUAUCCUCCAGUAUCUCGAAGAGGAGCUUCGCGCGGCCCCGCUGUCGCAGCGCGGUGCGAUCAACAAUGGCUGUGGUACGACCGCAGCGGAGUCCGACGGCACCUCAGCUGGGGCCCCGCCACUGGACGCGCAGGCAUCGGUCUCUGAAGCUCCUGCCCCACCGCCGCCGCCGCCACCGGUAACGGAGAGCAAGCGUUCGGUGGUGCUCGGCGCGACAUCGAAUGACGACUUUUUCGGACACGUCGACGAGCUCGCCAAGUUGCCGCGAGAGCACUUCGAGAAGGCCGGCCUCAAGUGGGUGGUGCCGCUGCCCAACGGGACACUGGAAGAAGUCAUCCCGAACGGGCGUUGGAUAACGGUUCGCUACGAGGAUUUUCCUCACUACCUGGCGCACGUUGCUCGGUACCGAAACGCCCGUGCGAGCCAGCCACAGCCGUCGCCUCCGUCUUCUCAUUCCACGGGUGUGGUGGGCCGGCAGGGAUACAAGGAUCCGACUGCCGAGUACCCGCCUAACCGUGCGCCGGUCGUCUCUGUUGCGGCGUCUAGCGUUCCUUCUAUUUUGGCUCAGGCGCCCGGCUACGACCCCGAUCGCGAGUCGACCCUUUACUCGCCAGGCCACUUCGCGGGUGAUCUCUUCAGCCCCAUGGCACGCGCAUCGGAUGUGCAGACGAUGAGUGUCGUACCACCGGCUGCAAUGGUGACGGAAAUGGGCGGCGGGGCAGCUGGCUUCGAACGGCGUAGCCGCCCCGCUGUCCAGCACAUUGGUCGCCCGUACGAUGUCAGCUCGUUCCACGACAAGGUCAACCUUCUCCGUCGCGGGGCGGUGCCCAGCGCGGCUAUUGCGCAGCUCGGCCUCACCUUCAGUGUACCGGACGGCCAACGUGUUGUCGAGCUCGUCAACGACGGCAUGCAGGUGGAUGUGACAGCCGCCAAUGUGAGCGAGUUCCUGCGUCUACUGGACAGCUAUCCAACAGCGCAGGCUCCGUCUGGCCGGGUGCAUCGCACGAACAGUGUGAGGAAGAUCGACGUAGGCCGCAUCAUCUCCGACGUCCCUGCAACGUUCAGCCCGUCGCACUUUUCACACGGCCUCUUCGCGCCGUACCAGGAGCCGACCUCAUCGGUCUAUGUGGACUACGACAAGUCGGAGCGGAUGCUGCCGCUCUACCUGAAGGAGCAUCACGUGAGCCCUGCCGAUACACGAGGCCUGUACGUGAGCGCUGCACGCUCUGCCGACUACCCCACCUUAGAGCGCAUCGUGCAAGAGGUGAAGGUGAAUCCGUCUGCCUUGACCAAGUACGGUGUUACCUUCAGCGUGCCGAGCUCGCUGGAGCCGUACUCGACGCCAGAGGAGCGGCGCAGUGGUCUCCACGCCUUAUUCCCUUUCUCUGCUUUGCAGCCGGUGCAGCCGGAGGAUCGACUUCACUUUCUUUCUCUCGCUCGUCAGUACUACCCCAAUAUUCUCUGAACGGAAGACGGAGUGACGCUCCUUGCCGUUUCCUCGCUGUCACCGUACAACUAGGCGUGCUCGCGGUUCUGCUAUGCAUGUAAUAUAGACCUGAAACGGGAGCCGGUGGAGGACGGUGGGGGAGAGACAAGUACUCCUUGCCAGUAGGCGGCCGGGCUGCGCGCCAAGGGGAAGGACGAAUAGGACUGUAGCGAUAGCUAAGAUGAGGGUAUGAAACGCAUGUUUGCCUCUCUUCCCCUCUGCGCAGACGUGCAGCUGUUCUCUAGCGUCAUGCGAUGGUGUCGUCAUGCGUGGGAUGUCUCUCUGUCAGUCCGCAUCCUCACUCCCGCACUCUCGCUCUCGCUCGUGCGCCACUCUCGUCACGUUCUGCUGGGGCUUAUGUGCACUUUUUUUUUCGGCCUCUUUGCCCAG